CUUAGCCGAAGCCUCAUCCAACUUACGCUCAACUCCUAGCUCUGGGUAAAUGGCUCUUCUUCCUCCUCCUCCUACUUCUCUCCUCCUCCUCGCGUUGUUCCUCUUGGCAAUGUCUGGGCCACGUCAGGAAAGGGCACUGGCACACGAGAGCGGCGCUGAGCUCAAUAGGACCGCCUUCCCUGAUGAAUUCAUCUUCGGCGCCGCCUCCUCGGCUUACCAGUACGAAGGCGCCGUGAGGGAAGGUGGCAGAAGGCCGAGCAUUUGGGAUACCUUCACACACAAGCAUCCAGAUAAGAUUGCUGAUAGAAGUAAUGGGGAUGUAGCACUGGACUCCUACCAUCGUUAUAAGGAAGAUGUGAAACUUGUGAAGGAGCUGGGACUAGAUGCCUACAGGUUCUCUAUCUCUUGGCCAAGAAUCCUACCAACCGGAAGCCUAAGCGGGGGAGUUAACAACGAGGGUGUCAAGUAUUACAACAACCUCAUUAAUGAGCUUAUAUCCAAUGGCUUGAAGCCCUUUGUGACUAUCUUCCAUUGGGAUUUGCCUCAAAGCCUAGAAGACCAAUAUGGCGGUUUCUUAAGUUCUCAUAUCAUAAACGACUACCUUGACUAUGCCGAGGUUUGCUUCAAAGAGUUUGGAGACCGUGUCAAGUACUGGAUCACCUUCAACGAGCCAUUUAUUUUCUCGACUAGGGGCUAUGCGUCCGGCACAUUAGCACCAGGGCGUUGUACUCCUAGGGUCGUUGGCAAUUGCUCUGUGGGGGACUCAAGUAGGGAACCUUAUAUCGUGGGGCAUAACAUACUACUUGCCCAUGCUGCUGCAGUGAAGUUAUACAGAAACAAGUAUCAGGGGGCUCAGAAGGGCAAAAUAGGAAUAACCCUGUACACUCAAUGGUUGGCGCCAAUCUUUAAUACCAAGUCUAAUGAUGAUGCAGCGGAACGAGCUUUAGAUUUCUCAUAUGGAUGGUUCAUGGACCCCUUAACACAAGGUGAUUACCCUUUCAGCAUGAGGGUGCUUGUUGGAGAUCGGUUACCCAAGUUUACCAAAAAGCAAUCAGAAUUGGUUAAAGAGUCAUUCGACUUCAUUGGACUUAAUUACUACACAGCAAGCUACGUAUACAGCACUCCGAAAUCUAACAGUGCAACCAAAAAUUACUACACAGAUUCCUACACUAACACGACUCAAGUACGUGAUGGAGUCCCCAUUGGUCCAGCGGUAAUGUCUUUCACAACUCACAUCCCUCUCUCAAAAAAUCAACAUUGCCUUGACUGCUUUGAGUUGGCUCUUCAUCUAUCCAAAAGGAAUAAGAGAUAUCUUGCUGUACACGAAGACCAGGUACAACAACCCAGCCGUCUACAUCACCGAGAAUGGGGUCGCAGAGGCCAACAAUAAAACGUUAUCACUCCAGGAAGCGCUCAAGGAUGAUACGAGGAUAUACUACUACUCUAAGCAUCUGCUGUACCUACACAAAGCUAUCAGGGAAGGAGCAGAUGUGAGAGGAUACUUUGCGUGGACUUUAUUGGAUGACUUCGAAUGGAACUCCGGCUACACAGUUCGGUUUGGCAUCCACUAUGUAGACUACAAAGAUGGCUUAAAGAGAUACCCUAAGAAAUCUGCCUACUGGUUUCGUAAGUUCCUCAAAAGAAAGUAGAAUUGUCUAUGGUCACAUAAAUCCUAUUCCAUUUUGUUGUCAUUUUCCUCAGUAGGAGCAUCAGAAGGUCAUUGAUGCUGCAGUAAAAUGUAUGUUGGGUUUCUCCACGUUGAAAGACAUCAUUGUAUGUGUUCAAUAACUGAUUCAAGUAUGAGAGCCAUUGUAAUAAAACGGAGUCUUUUCUCAAAA